GGGCCCGCACAAGCGGUGGAGCAUGUGGUUUAAUUCGAUGAUACGCGAGGAACCUUACCAGGACUUAAAUGUAAGUUGCAUGAUUCAGAAAUGAAUCUUUCUUCGGACUACUUACAAGGUGCUGCAUGGUUGUCGUCAGCUCGUGCCGUGAGGUGUCAGGUUAAGUCCUAUAACGAGCGCAACCCCUAUCGUUAGUUGCCAUCAAGUAAAGUUGGGAACUCUAGCGAAACUGCCGGUGUAAACCGAGAGGAAGGUGGGGAUGACGUCAAAUCAUCACGGCCCUUACGUUCUGGGCUACACACGUGCUACAAUGGCCGGUACAGAAAGCAGCCACUAUGCGAAUAGGAGCUAAUCUUUAAAACCGGUCUCAGUUCGGAUCGCAGUCUGCAACUCGACUGCGUGAAGCUGGAAUCGCUAGUAAUCGCAGGUC
rnacentral:rRNA from 1 species